GGCUCUCUGCUUCCCAGAGAUUUGCCAUGAUCUCCCCCACCCCCAUUUUGAAUGGAAGCAAAUUAGAAGGCUGUGUUUUGAAUGUACAUUUGUAGACAGGGUGGGAAAGGUGGCGGGCUCCCUGAUGGGCAUUUACUUUCUUCACAAACUUAUUCCAGGCGGCCUUUCUACUUGACAAACUUAACAAUAUUGGGGGCGGGGAGGUUUUGAGUUCCCAUUUGCAUGUGUAAUCCCCCCUAUUUUCUCUUGCUCCGCUCUUACCAAGCUAUUAGGUCGCGGUCUCUCCUCUUUAUUAUUUGUGGCUGUUGGAAACGUCUCGUUAUCUUUUGAUAGAGGAUUUACAGCCUCGGGUCGAUUUAGUCAUAUCCUGAUGUCAGACCUUGGCUAAUACCCUCACUCUCAGUCCAGUGAUUUAUCCCACUGGUCCAUCCGCUGGUGUUUAGUCAGCUCCGUUACCGAUUAGUAGGUUUCCUAUAAUUAUUCCCCCGCCCCCCAGGCGAAUUGAGCUUGAUUAUCUGGGGCGGUAAAAAUCCAGCCCUUUAUGCUUAAGUAAUAUUAAAAGCGCAGCUCACUUUCUUCCCCCUCAGCCCCAAAGUUCAGAGGAUGUCUCGAGUUACACCGUGAUUGAUUUGUCAAACAAUGAACUGGCUCCUUCACUUGCAUUGCACCAACUCUUCAGACCAGAUCCGCAAGAAUAUUGGGUCUGGCUGCGGGAGUGUGUGUGUAUAGGGAGGGAAGAGACUAAUUUGGCAGGGAAACGAUGUUCGGAUUUUACCUACUCCCUCUGGCUAUAAGGAGAAGGGCAUCUCUCUGUGUGUAACACGGCAGAAGUGUGUACUGUACAUGCCUCCACUUUCCCAACCACCUCUUUUGUUUGGACCUCCACAGAGAGGAAGCCGGCUCAGUGCCUGUAGUAUUCUGCACAGUAAACAACAACAUCGACACAUCUCAUGGGGACUGGAAAGGAUUUCAACGGGGCACCGUCCCC